AAAAAGUGGGAAAACCUGAAGCAAAAAUACAAGGCGAUUGAGGAGCCCUCAUCCCCAUCCUGCAGCUCUGCAGCCAGCAGUUCCCCACUGCCAAGUCCCUCCCCAG